GGGCUUGUGGUUUAGUGGUAUAAUACUCCCUUAGCAUGGUUGACGAACUACGACGACGAUCCACACGAUGGUUUCGUGGUGUUGUCUAACAGCUUGGGAGUGGUCCGGGGUUCGAUUCCCCGCGAGUCCA